GUUGAGUGGUUCUGAAAUCGCUGCGUUAGGGGCGACUGCAACCAGGCGUUGCGGCAAGUUACGGUGGGAGCUUCUGUCCGUGCUGUGUGAUUGCGACGAGGGGGACCGCCGCCAGCAGCAGCGUGUCGCCGAUUUCGUCUUUGCCGACAUCGAGCAAGGGCAGCUCGUCGGACCGUCACAAGCGCCCGAAGUGCUGCGGUUUGCACUGCAUCUUUCAUUGUGAUAUGGGAGAUCGCAACGGACAGAGACGACCAGAUGCAUACGAACGACUACCAGCGGGGAGUGACCUGUGCCAUAUUUCUCUUAACGUCUCAGGUAUUCAAGAAAUGGCAACAGCCAGAAGUCUCCAUCUUAUCCAGCACGUUAUGGGUACACUCUGGCGGCUCCUACCCCUGCGUCCUACCACCACCCUGUCCCGACUACAUCCACUAGGGAGUUGGAAGCCUUUGGCGGCUUCUGCCACUGCAUCCUGCCACCACCAUGUCCCGACCACGUCCACUAGGGAGUUGGCAGCCUUAGGGAUGAUGCCAAGC